rnacentral:tRNA from 1 species
GGUUAUGGCUCAGUGGUAGAGCACUUGCCUAGGACAAGUGAGGCCCUGGGUUCGAUCCUCAGAACCA